AGAAAGAUACGUUUUCUUCAGGAAUUUCAAUACACGAGGUAUUUAUGUAUGCCUCUGAGUCUAUUUUGUUACUACAAGUUGAAAUGAUGAAUUGGUUACUCAACACUAACCAAAGUAACCCUAAACAUCAUUGGACAAAUUAACUUGAUUGGAAUCAACUUGUUUUGAAUCUAGACCAUUGGAAAUCCAUUGUAGCCCAGUCCACAUCUACCCUUGGCAGACAAAAGGACACUCUCCACCCACCAGUCCCUCCCACAAGGUGACUGAAGGUGACCACCCUGUGCUCACAACAGCUUUUCUCCCACUCACCGAGGGCUGGUUACCACCUGCCACCUUGUUGGGGGUCCACAGAAUGCAAACUGAUUCCCUCAUUAAUGGACUGUGGCCCAGGCCCAUGAAAACUCACAGAGAGAAGAAAUGUGUGUAAUGUCUAGUGAAUGAGUGGUCAUUUUCUGUAGUUAGUGGUCACUUCUGGCUGCUGCCAACAUGUUCUGUUCAGCUGCCCAUCAGAUGUGCCCUUACGUUGCACACAGUUAUUCCGGGUCAGUGCCUGUCUGUCCUUAUAAUAAAAUGCAUGGGCUUUGUGGCAGCUGCUUGCCACUCUGAGGUCAUUCUGGUUCACUUAAGUGGGCAGCAUUUAAGCAAGUGAACAAGUCUUAAACCCAGCCCUCAUACCUGCUGCUCCCCUGGUCCUCUCCAUUCCUCUGGAUGGCUGGCGACAGAAGGGCUCCACACGCCCUCCAGCAGCUGCUCUCACUAACUCCUCUGCUCUCCAACUCUGCUCUGACCAGGUGGGUCCCCCUGGCUGAAGUGCUGUAUCCCCUUCAUUCACAACGUCUUCCUGGACCCCGAGAUAUACUCUGCCUCCACACUGAGAAAGGCAGUGGGGUCGAGGGGCAAGAUUGCUGCUUUUGGAGCUAGAUGAGACCUGACUCCACCUCCUCCUGGCUGUGUGACCUUGGGCAAGCCAUCAACCUCUCUGAGCCAUACUGUCUCCUCUGUAAAAUGGGGAUCAAACAGCAUCAACGUACAGGAUUGUUAGGAAGACUAAGUGGAAGAAGUUAACUACAUGAUGACCAGACUGUAGCCAUGACAUAAGCUGCCACAAUUCUGAGAACUGGCCUCAAAGGAAUGGGAAGAAACGGACCGUGGAACUAAAGACCGUGUUAGGUAGCUAGUCAGACGUGAGUGGGUCCCGCCCCAUCCUGGAUGGGGUCAUCUUUCCCUCCCCACCUGGACACUGGUGACCAGAACAUGCCCAGAGAUCCUCCCUUUUUGUGGUUAAGGACCGCUAAGUUUCCAGCCUUAUGAGGACCAAGCAAGAUAUUGAAAACCCAACAGGGUUUUCCAAACCAUCAGCACC